CCUACGGGUGGCAGCAGUCGAGAAUCAUUCACAAUGGGGGAAACCCUGAUGGUGCGACGCCGCGUGGGGGAAUGAAGGUCUUCGGAUUGUAAACCCCUGUCAUGUGGGAGCAAAUUAAAAAGAUAGUACCACAAGAGGAAGAGACGGCUAACUCUGUGCCAGCAGCCGCGGUAAUACAGAGGUCUCAAGCGUUGUUCGGAAUCACUGGGCGUAAGGCGUGCGUAGGCUGUUUCGUAAGUCGUGUGUGAAAGGCGCGGGCUCAACCCGCGGACGGCACAUGAUACUGCGAGACUAGAGUAAUGGAGGGGGAACCGGAAUUCUCGGUGUAGCAGUGAAAUGCGUAGAUAUCGAGAGGAACACUCUUGGCGAAGGCGGGUUCCUGGACAUUAACUGACGCUGAGGCACGAAGGCCAGGGGAGCGAAAGGGAUUAGAUACCCUAGUAGUC
rnacentral:rRNA from 1 species